GGUUCGACUCGAGCGAAGCGAGAGAACGUUGCGUCAGCAACGGCCCGCAGUGGCAAGUCAUCCUCUGUCACCGGCAG
rnacentral:sRNA from 1 species